rnacentral:lncRNA from 1 species
CCUGGGAAUCUUGGCUGACUGGAACCAUUUGACGACCUGCCUGCCACCUGCCAUCAUCUCUUGAGGGCAAAGAUCAUUAUUCGCUCAGUUAACAGUGGAGUUAAUUGAUGGAGGCCCGUCAAGCUGCUCUGGGGAGGGGGAGAGCCGAGGAUGAAGUCCCAGAUGGAGAAAGAGAGGAAAUCGCAAGGAACCUGAGGAUGUUGCUCCGGGAAAACACAUGGUGUGGAAGCCAAGUUAGCAGUGGAGUAGGAGUAGGAGGGCCAACGCUGAACUCCAGAGUACUGGUGGCCUUUCCCAAGGUCUGCGUGUCCGGGUCUAGGCAGCCCACACGGGCUCCCUCACGAUGACGUGCAGCUUGUGCAAAGCCUGCGCCCCGCCACCCGCCUGAUGUUAUUUUUAUUUAUAUACCUGAAUACAGCGGAGCAUCUGCUUCCCUGAGACUCAUCAGUCACCAGGCUUAAUUAAAAUAAUGCCGUGCAUCUAACGCAGCGUG